UUAUUUUUCGUUUGAUUAACUUUCGUGCAAUCGAAUUAAAUUAUUUCCUUUAUCGUAAAGUCAAACAGAAGCAAGGCGAUGUUAUUUUCUUCACUUUUUAAUUAAAACGAAUCGAGAAAUGCGUAUACGAUAUAAUACAAUGCCAUUUGAAUCGACAUUAUGCAUAUACACACCUGCCUUCAUUAUACGUAUAUAUAUAUAUGUAUAUAUAUAUGUACACAAUACAUAAUGUAUUAUUUGAUUUAAUUUUUUUCAAAAAACUUAUUAAAAAAUCUUAUAAUGUGCAUCGAAAUUUUUAUAGGUAGCCUUUUGUAACGUCAAGACAAAUGCACCGUAUGGGUUUUACAGAUCGUAGAAGAAGCCCCAGAUGGCAAGCGCCGUGUCCGAUCUUCUGUUUAAAAUUUGAACCACGCUGGUAUCGCGCUCGUUUUCCUUAACACCACCUGCUCGCACUCGACCGUCCUCGCAAUUUAUUUAUUGAUUCAUGAAAAUAUUAAAGUAAACCUUAUUAUAUAGGUACGAUAAUGAUCGAUGAACAUAGCAACGUUAGAAACAAAAAGAAUUCGAAAGAAAAUGUUUUAGGGACAAGUUUGAAAAGAUCUUUGUUCGUCAAGGAAAUGGGUCUGCUAUGGAAGCGUAUAAAUGCUCAGUGUGCGAGCACUGUGUUCUGUACGGAUAGCCGGAAGUUGAAUGUACGUAAUGUUUCUGGGCGCGCCUGCUAAAGCUAUUUUUCGCUUCACUGGCAAAUAAAAACAAUAUAAUGAUUGAGCAUAACUUGAUGCGCAUACUUAAAAGAUCUCAUACUUUUUCUAUGACUUCUAACUUAAAUUAUUAUUUCUCAAAUGUUUCAUAUUAUAUUGUUAUUAGAUAUAAAAUGCU